rnacentral:sRNA from 1 species
UUCCUCCAUCUUUACGUGAUUUUCGCCCA